GAUUGAACGCUGGUGGCAGGCCUAACACAUGCAAGUCGAGCGGCAUCGAGUGAUCGCAGUUUACUGAGUUCAUGUCGGCGAGCGGCGGACGGGUGAGUAAAGUCUGGGAAUCUGGCCGAAGGAGGGGGAUAACUGCUGGAAACGGCAGCUAAUACCGCAUGAAGUCGCGAGACCAAAGYGGGGGACCUUCGGGCCUCACGCCUUCGGAUGAGCCCAGAUGAGAUUAGCUGGUAGGUAAGGUAAAGGCUYACCUAGGCGACGAUCUCUAGCGGGUCUGAGAGGAUAGCCCGCCACACUGGAACUGAGACACGGUCCAGACUCCUACGGGAGGCAGCAGUGGGGAAUAUUGCACAAUGGGCGAAAGCCUGAUGCAGCCAUGCCACGUGUGUGAAGAAGGCC
rnacentral:rRNA from 1 species